rnacentral:rRNA from 1 species
GCGAACGUUUGCGGCGGGCUUAACACAUGCAAGUCGAACGGCAGCGGACCUUCGGGUGCCGGCGAGUGGCGAACGGGUGAGUAAUAUAUCGGAACGUACCUUUCAGUGGGGGAUAACGUAGCGAAAGUUACGCUAAUACCGCAUAUUCUGUGAGCAGGAAAGCAGGGGAUCGCAAGACCUUGCGCUGAUUGAGCGGCCGAUAUCAGAUUAGCUAGUUGGUGAGGUAAAGGCUCACCAAGGCGACGAUCUGUAGCGGGUCUGAGAGGAUGAUCCGCCACACUGGAACUGAGACACGGUCCAGACUCCUACGGGAGGCAGCAGUGGGGAAUUUUGGACAAUGGGCGCAAGCCUGAUCCAGCCAUGCCGCGUGAGUGAAGAAGGCCUUCGGGUUGUAAAGCUCUUUCGGCCGGGAAGAAAUCGCACAGGUUAAUACCCUGUGUGGAUGACGGUACCGGAAUAAGAAGCACCGGCUAACUACGUG